rnacentral:lncRNA from 1 species
UCUUUGAACAAGCAAAACAACCUAUAAUAUAAGAAAAAGAAGGCAUGCCUACAAGGCUACAAUGCUGCAUCAAAAAGGAUAAAUCAGGGCCAUAAAUGAUAAUGAUAAGAGGAAAGAAGCUUCAGGAGCAACUAUAUGAAAUCUAUUUACAUAAAAUAAAUAGCAGAGGAAGAAAUCAUCACUCAGCAAAAGCCCAACAUAAUAACUCAUGAUCCGGCUCACGACAGCAAUCUCUUUAUGCGGUAAAGUCGCACAUUUCAAUCUAUUGAACUUCUGACACUGAGGCAUCCAACCUUUGCUCUUUCUGAUUCCCAAUAUCCUUAGUGUGCUGCAACUCUUUUGACAACCAGAAGACUUGCAUCAAGCCACCAUUCCCAAUAUGAGAAAAAAAUACCCGCCUUGGAAUUUCCAAGCAUAACGAGAUAAGCUUAAUGAGCACAAAAAACAAUCCAAUGCCCACGAGAAGCUUAAAAGAGUCAUCCUGUCCGACAGCCAGUAAAAGCAAUGUAAGUUUGUCGACUAAGAAUAAAAUGCAGUGAUAGAUUGCAAGUAAGCAACAAGUUAACCUUUAUACUUCUCUGAAAAUAGUCGUGAAAGAACUCCUUUAAGAAAUCUGUCAGUGCAACACCUAUGAAUAAACCGAGUGGAAUCAUCAGCUCUCU